CCUACGGGGGGCUGCAGUGGGGAAUAUUGGACAAUGGGGGGAACCCUGAUCCAGCCAUGCCGCGUGUGUGAAGAAGGCCCUCGGGUUGUAAAGCACUUUCAGUGAGGAAGAACGCCUGGUGGUUAAUACCCAUCAGGAAAGACAUCACUCACAGAAGAAGCACCGGCUAACUCCGUGCCAGCAGCCGCGGUAAUACGGAGGGUGCGAGCGUUAAUCGGAAUUACUGGGCGUAAAGCGCGCGUAGGUGGCUUGAUAAGCCGGUUGUGAAAGCCCCGGGCUCAACCUGGGAACGGCAUCCGGAAAUGGCAAGCUAGAGUGCAGGAGAGGAAGGGAGAAGUCCCGGUGUAGCGGUGAAAUGCGUAGAGAUCGGGAGGAAUACCAGUGGCGAAGGCGGCCUUCUGGACUGACACUGACACUGAGGUGCGAAAGCGUGGGUAGCAAACAGGAUUAGAUACCCUAGUAGUC
rnacentral:rRNA from 1 species